rnacentral:rRNA from 1 species
GAUGAACGCUGGCGGCGUGCCUAAUACAUGCAAGUCGAGCGAACAGAUAAGGAGCUUGCUCCUUUGACGUUAGCGGCGGACGGGUGAGUAACACGUGGAUAACCUACCUAUAAGACUGGGAUAACUUCGGGAAACCGGAGCUAAUACCGGAUAACAUAUUGAACCGCAUGGUUCAAUAGUGAAAGGCGGCUUUGCUGUCACUUGUAGAUGGAUCCGCGCCGUAUUAGCUAGUUGGUAAGGUAACGGCUUACCAAGGCAACGAUACGUAGCCGACCUGAGAGGGUGAUCGGCCACACUGGAACUGAGACACGGUCCAGACUCCUACGGGAGGCAGCAGUAGGGAAUCUUCCGCAAUGGGCGAAAGCCUGACGGAGCAACGCCGCGUGAGUGAUGAAGGUCUUCGGAUCGUAAAACUCUGUUAUCAGGGAAGAACAAAUGUGUAAGUAACUGUGCACAUCUUGACGGUACCUGAUCAGAAAGCCACGGCUAACUACGUG